UCUUCCUGUACUGUUGUCACAACCGUGUGACCUUUACGUAGGCUACUUGAGUCUCUGACACAGCGUAAUAGGCAGUGAAUGAGUUACAUUGUAGCCCUUACGAGUUAUUCGAAUAGCUAAUUGUCAAAGCGCUGUCAGCUCAUUCAAAAAUAAAGAUCUCACCAGCGCGGAUUACUUUGACUUGAGUAGCCUAUGUAGAUUGCUCUCCAAGGGCAAUUUGGGCUAUCUCAAGAUUGAUCGAAAUGUAAACGCUUGGACGUUCGAGCUAUUUACUUCAGAGACUGCUGAUGCACAAGGGCGAACGGAGUGAUGCUGAAAUUGCUCACAGCCGCAGCGCGUGUACCCACUCCCUGCGUGUGUCGAUGUUUCUCUGUAGUAGGGGGUGAAGAGAGUUGCGCGGUGUCCAAACUAGCUCCACCAAUGUCAAAAGAGGCUUCACUUUAUGUGCACUGGCCCUACUGUCUGAGGCGAUGCUCCUACUGCAACUUCAACAAGUACAUCCAUCGGUCUGAUAAUAAUGCUGUCAUGUCAGACUGCUUGCAACGGGAAACGGAGACACUUUUAAGGCUCAGUGGAGUUUCCUGCAUAACCUCUGUGUUUUUUGGAGGGGGGACUCCCAGCCUGGCCCACCCUUCAACCGUAGCGGCUGUCCUGGAGACGGUUGCCAGGCACGCUGGUCUCUCAGACAAGGCUGAGGUCACACUGGAGGUGAAUCCCACCCCAAUGGGGAAGUCCAGACUGGAGGACUUCCUGCUUGCUGGGGUCAACCGCUUUUCCAUCGGAGUACAGUCUCUGCAGGACAAUGACUUGAAAGUCCUGGGGAGAGACCAUAACUCCCAGAAUGCUCAGCAGACGGUUGCAGAGGCCCAGAGGCUGUGUCCUGGUAGAGUGUCUGUGGAUGUCAUGUUUGGUCGUCCCAAUCAAAGUGUUGAAUCCUGGGAAAGGGAGCUGGAAGAGUUACUGUCCCUGUGUGAUGACCACGUGUCUCUGUACCAGCUGACACUGGAGAGAGGCACACAGCUCUUUAAGCAGGUCCAGCUGGGGGAACUGAGUGUGCCAACUGAUGAUGUCACAGCUGACAUGUACAAAUCUGCCAGGAGAAUCCUUCAUGAGAGAGGAUACCUGCAAUAUGAGGUGUCAAACUUUGCAAGACGUGAUGCGGUCAGCUUGCAUAAUAUGAACUACUGGAAAGGACAUCAGUACAUUGGGAUAGGCCCAGGUGCACAUGGGCGCUUUGUUCCUUGCGCGGAGGGGGGUAUUCUCAGGGAGGCUCGGACGCAGACCCUGGAGCCCGAUGUGUGGAUCCGAGAAGUCCAGCAGAAGGGCCACGGAACCCGCCGCCGGAUCGGGCUCAACCAUCUGGCACUAUUGGAGGAGGUGUUGGUGAUGGGACUGCGUCUGAAUGAGGGCAUUAAUCACAAGCAUUGGCAGUUGUUCAGUCCUGCUGCCGAUUUUCACCAAAUCUUUGAAACGUCCAAGGAAGUACAAGAGUUUCAACGACGAGGUCUGCUUAUCCUGGACGACAGGGGUCUCCAGUGUACUUGGCAGGGCCUGGGUCUACUGGACAGUAUGUUGCCAACCCUUCUGCUCGAGCUGGAGACACACAUUACCCAGAGCUAAGGCAAGGGUGUCCAAGGACAACAAGGGUGGAUGGAGAGGAGAAACGACCUCCAAGCCUGGGCGACAGAGACAUUGUGAAGCCUAAGCAGUGUACUCAAAUACGAUCUCAUUGCCUGCCACCUGCUUCAGUCUGUAAUCUAAUCUCCAUAUCUAGGUGAAUGGAGUGGCCUCCUCCACUGUUCAUUAUAGCCCUACAAUGGAGUUUCGCAUCAUCUCCCUAAACUAAUGAGAGCAAUC